UGGGGAAUAUUGGACAAUGGGCGCAAGCCUGAUCCAGCCAUGCCGCGUGAGUGAUGAAGGCCCUAGGGUUGUAAAGCUCUUUCACCGGUGAAGAUAAUGACGGUAACCGGAGAAGAAGCCCCGGCUAACUUCGUGCCAGCAGCCGCGGUAAUACGAAGGGGGCUAGCGUUGUUCGGAUUUACUGGGCGUAAAGCGCACGUAGGCGGACUUUUAAGUCAGGGGUGAAAUCCCGGGGCUCAACCCCGGAACUGCCUUUGAUACUGGAAGUCUUGAGUAUGGUAGAGGUGAGUGGAAUUCCGAGUGUAGAGCUGAAAUUCGUAGAUAUUCGGAGGAACACCAGUGGCGAAGGCGGCUCACUGGACCAUUACUGACGCUGAGGUGCGAAAGCGUGGGGAGCAAACAGG
rnacentral:rRNA from 1 species